UGGGGAAUCUUGCGCAAUGGGGGCAACCCUGACGCAGCGACGCCGCGUGCGGGAUGACGGCCCUAGGGUUGUAAACCGCUUUCAGCAGGGACGAAAUUGACGGUACCUGCAGAAGAAGGCCCGGCCAACUACGUGCCAGCAGCCGCGGUAAUACGUAGGGGCCAAGCGUUGUCCGGAAUCAUUGGGCGUAAAGAGCUCGUAGGCGGCUUGGUGAGUCGGAUGUGAAAUCUCCACGCUCAACGUGGAGCGGCCAUCCGAUACUGCCAUGGCUAGAGUCCGGUAGGGGAGCGUGGAAUUCCCAGUGUAGCGGUGAAAUGCGCAGAUAUUGGGAGGAACACCCGUAGCGAAGGCGGCGCUCUGGGCCGGAACUGACGCUGAGGAGCGAAAGCGUGGGUAGCAAACAGGAUUAGAUACCCCCGUAGUCC
rnacentral:rRNA from 1 species